rnacentral:lncRNA from 1 species
AGGGGCAGCCUCGAUCUCGCGCAAAGGAAGAUAUAAAAGGAGCUGCGGGGAACAAUGGCGCCAUUGUUCUUAGCGUCUUCAAACCAACUGCAAGAAGAAACCAAGAUGGAGGGGAGCCCAAAUCAUCGGAGAGAAUUGAUAAGGGAGAGAGAUUUGCUUAAAACUUGACCGUUUUAAAGGACCAUUUGCUCCUCAACAGCUACAUUAAUGGAACAGUGUGUGUGAUCUCUGUGCUCCUGGGAGUCAGAACACAAUUGACAGAGGAGGAUCCUGUUCUUAUCACAGAAGAUUGUCUUUCUCUCCUUGUGGGUCACACACUUGUGCUCCUCAGAAUUCAAAUAUUCCAUGAGCCUUUUCUUUCUGACGAUGGACACCUGCUUCUUCAUAGAAGUGUCAUCUAGGAACACCUGCAGGCAUGAUUGCCUACACGUUGGGCAGUAGGCAGGCAAUUGGAUGUCUCCUGAAAAAAAGAAGAGACAAGGCUGGCAGAACUUAUGGCCACACCUCAAGACAAUCGGAUCCAUGAAGAUGCCCUGGCAGAUGGAGCAAGUGAGUGUUUCCUCCUGGGGGACUUGUAAAUUGUCUGAUUUCAUUUUUCUGAGGGAGGAAAAAAUAGCAGCGUUAUUGGGCCAGAGAGGAACAAGAGUCUAGACAGAGUAUG